GUAGGUGGCAAGCGUUGUCCGGAUUUAUUGGGUUUAAAGGGUGCGUAGGCGGUUCCAUAAGUCAGUGGUGAAAUACAAUAGCUCAACUAUUGAGAUGCCAUUGAUACUGCGGAACUUGAGUACAGACGAGGUAGGCGGAAUUGACGGUGUAGCGGUGAAAUGCUUAGAUAUCGUCAAGAACACCGAUAGCGAAGGCAGCUUACUAGACUGUAACUGACGCUGAGGCACGAAAGUGUGGGGAUCAAACAGGAUUAGAUACCCUGGUAGUCCACACUGUAAACGAUGAUUACUCGAUGUUGGCGAUACACAGCCAGCGUCUUAGCAAAAGCGAUAAGUAAUCCACCUGGGGAGUACGCCGGCAACGGUG
rnacentral:rRNA from 1 species